rnacentral:rRNA from 1 species
AUACGGAGGAUCCGAGCGUUAUCCGGAUUUAUUAGGUUUAAAGGGUGCGCAGGCGGAACUGUAAGUCACCGGUGAAAUCCUACAGCUUAACUGUAGAACUGCCGGUGAUACUGCGAUUCUUGAGUAUAGUUGAGGUAGGCGGAAUGUGUAGUGUAGCGGUGAAAUGCAUAGAUAUUACACAGAACACCGAUUGCGAAGGCAGCUUACUAAACUAUUACUGACGCUCAUGCACGAAAGCGUGGGUAUCGAACAGGAUUAGAAACCCGAGUAGUCC